GACGAACGCUGGCGGCGGGCUUAACACAUGCAAGUCGAACGGCAAGGCCCUGCUUGUUUGGGGUGCUCGGGGGGCGAACGGGGAAGGGAGAGGAGAGUAACGUGCCCUUGACUUUGGGAUAACUUCAGGAAACUGGGGCUAAUCCCGGAUCGGAGCCGCUGCUGGGGGGAGGGGGGUGGAAAGUUUCUGCGGUUGGGGAUGGACUCGCGGCUGAUCAGCUUGUUGGUGGGGGAGUGGCUUACCAAGGGUUUGGCGGGUAGCCGGCCUGAGAGGGUGACCGGCCACCUUGCGCCUGCGCUACGGCCCAGUCUCCUACGGGAGACAGUGGUGGGGAAUAUUGCCCAAUCGGCCGAAGCCUGAUGCGGCAGCGCCGCGUUCGGGAUGCCGGCCUUCUGGUAGUAAACCGCUUUCGGCUGUGACCACGCUUGAGUGACGGUAAUGGGUAAAGAAGCACCGGCUAACUACGUG
rnacentral:rRNA from 1 species